CUCCUCCAGCGGCAGGAUGUGAGCCACCGGCAAGGAGGGACGCCAAUAAGGCAUCCGAUAAGGCGACACACAUGGGCUGGAUCCUGUGAUGUCUCCAGUCUUUCUGGUAAUGAGAUAAAGUCUGCUGGUCACGUUCAGGAAACAAAUCCUAUCCUGUGCAAGGACUCAGCCAGUGGCUCUCGGUUGGAAAUCUGAGGCAGCUCGUCAGGAGGCACCAGACUUCUCUGGGGUUACCAGUGGGGAAGGGAUGACCCAGGAGCAUGAAGGCAAACCCAAACCUGUUGGCACUUCUUGGAAGAUUCAAAUUUCAAAGAGGAGAAGGCUUUGUGCCCUGUUAGGUGGUUCAUCCUCAUCCUCAGACGCACCCAAGCCACCUUUCCUGUUGCACUGGAGACUGAACAACCUGUGGAAUUCGCAGGGGACCAUAGCAGCAAUGGGUAUGCUAAGGGCAUGUGAUGUUUGCACAGGCUACCCUACAGUAUCAUUGUAUGCCACCACCAUCUGGGAACAACAGCAAUCCAAACUUAUCAGAGUCAGCGCUACUUUCAUUUUUAGGUGGGGACUAUAAAAGGAGGUCCCGAGCCAGGGAGUUUCACGAACUUGCAAGCCCACCCUCUGAGUUGGAGCAAAAACUAGAACUUGGUUCUGAGUCAAAGCUAAAAGGAAGCAGGAGAAUAAGAACUCCGCAGGAUGUCACCCACCCACAGGGCGGGAGUAAAGCAUCAAAACCCAGUCCUCUCCUGAAAACAAAGACCACUUGUCGACAAGGUUUUAAGACCAUAGCCUGCUUUCUUCCUUCCAUCCUGUGUGCAACUGGAUAAAGGGCUUCCAUGGCUCCGUGUUUCAGGGAUCCUGAAGUGUGCUAAGGAUCCAGCACACAAGACCUCAGUUCAUCCCUCAUCAAACUCAUUGGUUUCUACGUGACACUUUCUCCUGUUCUCUCAACAGACACUGCUUCAUUUCCCUGGCAAUUAGGAUGAAUUCGAAGGGCUCAGCAAGUAUUUGGUCAAUUAUAGCUCCUAUAUGACCCAACCGCCAGACUUACAAAUAAAAAUACGGAAUGUCCAGUGAAAUCUGAAUUUCAGAUAAAGUGAAAUAAUUCUUAGUAAGAAUAUGUUCUAAAGAUUUGUAUUUUUAAAGGUGAUUUAUUCGAGAAAAAUAGGAACAGAAAAUGUUCUGGGGGUUUUUGACUAUUGUAACAAUGUUAUAGAGGAAGACAAGUAAUAGUCUUUAGAUUUGGUUACUAAGAAACACUUUUUGAUAAAAACAAACACAAAAACCUGUUUGGUUUUUGUUGUUGUUGUUAUUAUUUAAGCUAUGAAAAGGUGGCCCCAAGUUUCUGAUAAUUGAACUGAAAUUGAAACUCUGAUCUUGUGAACUCGGGCUCCAGCUUAUUAAUGAUGGUCUCUUGUACCUCUGAAUUAAUUGGCUAUUAGAUUAGGAGGAGGGCAGUUAAUUCAUCAAAGGGACUGUAAUUUCAUCGUUGAAACAUCUGGCAUCUGGCUCUUUAAACACUGUGCUGCAGAUUCACCUAUGCUUGGCUGAAGGUGAACCUGUCUUCCUGAUGGAUGGUCCUUUGGCCAGGUGAUUGGCUUGCUCAACUCAAUUAGCUCUUUAAAAGGAGACAAUGGCAUGUCUGCCACCAGAGUUUGCUCCCAUUCCUUUGGCUAGAAGAUGCUGCCGCCACUGCAAGUCUACUGGUUAAACAAGAUACCACCACUACAACCACCAACUUGGCAAUGGCUAAAGAUGGCCCUUUCUGUGUUUGUGUGAUGUCCAUUUCUCCAUGAACUGAAAAGUCUGAAAGGUGAACAUCCUUGAGAUUGGAUGAAAGAGCCAAGAAAGUGGCCACCGAGGGAGGAAGACUAGAAAUCCUAGCCUAAGUCUUGGGGUCACAGAGAAGAAGAGAAGCUACAACAUUUUCGGAAGUGGUGGGCCAUGAGGUGAAUAUCCAGGAGUCUGUGGCAGCUGCACGGACAGAGGGAUCUGCAAGUCUGUUGUGUAACAGUUUGCAGAAAUGAAUAGUCGGCCAGCAAAGACUCAUUCACAGGCAUAGCUGAGAAUCCAUUGCAGCCCUGGGUCCCUGAGAGCUCAGGGCAGGUUGCUGUUAGGUUCAGGCCAGGAGAAGGAUCGAGGUGGAAGCUGUUUAUGGAUUUAUACUUUGACCUUUUCUAAUCAGGUUGUACAUGAGGCUAGCAGGCUAUGUUCAGUGAAGUAUGUGUCAGAAACCAGAACACAGUUUGAUGAAAGAAAAAUAAGUUAACAUUUGGAUUUGAAACUCAUCUCAACUACAAGAUAUUAAAUGUGACUCCUGAGCUGCUUGCUAAUGCCUAAGCACGCAUCAUACCCAAAUCCUGAAAUGCAGAAUUCUGAGUAUUCUAAGCUGUGUCUCCCGGAAGGACGUCUGAAGAUGAAGGUCAAGCUCUCUCCUCAGCACUGAGUUAUGCUGGCCUUUCUUCUUAUUCUUCCCUCAUUUGUAAGAAGUGGAAACUUUCACAGUGUUUAAUGGGCUUCUUCACAUGUUAUUUCACGGACCAUUAACAUAACUGGAUAAUAAAAUUGAUGGUUAAAACCCCCUCUCUACUCCAUGCAAGGUGUGAAUGUGCAGCGAUGGUGAUUGACCUAAGAGAGCGAAGGGCCAGGCAGCAGGAAAGCCACUGCGCACAAAUUGAGGAUGGCUCUGAAGCACAGUCAGUGGCACUCUGUCCACCUAGGAGAGAAAACAAUUAUCAAAGCAGCUGUGAUGUAUGCCCUAUACUCAUGGCCCUCGUCAGCCUUCUCAUGUCUGUGAAGAGACAGCAUUGUCCUCACUUGGAUAGGAAAAUAGCUUUUGAGGCAGAGCCUUAUCUUACCAUGGAGCUCGGGUUGUCCUUGGAUUCAAUAUUCCUCUGCCUCAGCCUCCCGGAGACUGGGCUUACAAAUGUAUGCUACUUGCUCUGAGAGAAAGCUUAACUAAAUAGAAUUAUUAGGUAUCUCUGUCAAGAGAAAUGUUUUUGUGAAAAAAAAAAUCUAUGGAGAUGUUUCUCCCUGAAAGGGCAUGUGUUCUAACCACUAGGACCUCAGAAUGUGAGGAAUUAGGAGUUUGAAGGCACUAAAGAAGUGGACUUUACACAAAUGGGUCACGUGGGGGAAGGUACAGUGCCGCGUCCUGAGAGGAAGAGUAACAUACUCCUACUGAAAGGAAGGGUAAGAAGGUCAGACACACAACAGGAAGGCCAGGGGUGGCUGCCUGCCAGCCAAGAAAGAGGUUGGAGAAAAGCCAACCUUCUAAGACCGCAGUCUCAGACUUCCAGACCUCUGAGUACUUGGUUUUUGUGGCAGCCUGGACUGAUUAGGGCAGGAUACCACAUACACAGUAGGUGGAUGCUUGGAGGGCUCUGUGAGUGGGGCUGGUCUCCUUCAUCCUCUACUAAAGAGGCUGUGCUGAGAGAAUCAUAUCUAAGUCACUUUCUCCUUGUCCCCCUGUCCUUCCUUGACCAGGGGAGGUUGGCAGGCUCACAGCAUCCAGAUCUCUGUUCUCAAGGUUUGUAAAGAACCAGAGAGUUGAGAGUUCUGAAGGCAGAAUGGUCCGUGACUGGGCAAUACAACUGAGUCUUCAAGGGUACAAGGGAUUUGCCAAAAGAAAAGAUGAAUAUGUGUUCCUGCAAGAAGAUGGAGAGGAAGAAAGGGUCUGGCCUUUCUUCCUCUGUGAAUGGGUCUGUGACCCAUUUGUGUAAAGUUUGAGUUUUGUGAGAAACUGCUGCACGUCUGGCCCAUGGGUCCUGGGAGCAUCUCAUUUGACAAAUGUCCUUUCACUUGCCUGGUUUGAGUGAAUUUCCCUUGCUUGCUUGCAACAAAACUUGUCCUCUCUCUGGGUUUGUCAGACCUUUUGUGGCUGUGACAUAAUACCUAACAGAACACCUUAAAGAGAAGUAUUAUGCUGUGGAAUAACCCCGUGCUGUGAAAAUGUGUUGCUCUCGUUGUUUAUAAAAAGCUGAUCGGCUGGUAGCCAGGCAGGACAACCAAACUAAAGAUGCUGGGAUGAAGAAGGGCAGAGUCAGAGGAAAUGCCAACAGAUGCAGAGGAAACAAGCCAUGAGCCGUGUGGCAGAGGAUAGAUAAGAAAUAUGGAUUAACUUAAGUGGAAGAGUUAGCUAGCAACAAGCCUUAAUUAUUGGCCAAGCUUUUGUAAUUAAUAUAAUCCUCAGUGUGUUGAUUUGGGAGCUGCUGGUAGGACAGAAACUUCUGCCAACAACAUUACUUUUGGAACUGACAUUUUAAUCAUGUUCUUUGUCAGUUUGCAUUCAGAAACACAUGGAAGCAAGGUGCUAUGGCAGUGGAGACAUGUGUCAGUAGCUACUCACCUCCAGGAGGAGGAAACAGGAAAGGGGAGAGACUGGAGAGCAGGAACAGAUAAUCUUUAACAAAUGGGUCAUUCAAGAUCUUCCUCCAGCUUGGCCCCACCUUCUGAAGUUUGUAGUAUUUUCAAAAAUUGGACUUCUGACUGGGACCAAGACAAUAGGCUUUUGGGAAGGGAUUUUCACAUUCAAAUAUAACACUCCCAAAGUUCAGGUUCUAUCCCUGGUGCUUGGUAUGGCCAAUGACCAUUGGAGCAUGUCACAGCCUGGUGGCACUCCUGAGUGGCAGGCUCAAUCUCAUUCACAAGUCUGAGGGGCUUUAUUUGUUGGGAUUCUCUGGAGUGACAGAAGCAAGAGGUCCCACACAAGGAGAUGGCUCAUUGGCUAGAGCAGUUGUCAAACAAGUGCAAGGAAAGAACAUUGUAUCUCCAGAACUCAUGUAAAUGUGGAAUAGGCAUAGUACCCGUCCAGUAGCAACUCCAGCUCUGGAAGACUAAGACAGGGGAUUCCCCACAGCGAGCUAGCUAGUGAGAUUAGUCAUAUCAGUGAGCUCUGAGUUUGAUAUAAUGAAUAAAAUAGAACAGCAUUCAAGAAUUGUGAUGAUUUGAAUGAAAACGGCUCUCAUAGUGAGUAGCACUAUAUUUGGAGGUGUGGCCCUUUUGAAGGAAGUGUGUGGCUGUGGAUGGCCCUUGAGGUUUCAGAUGAUCACUCCAGGCCUACUGUCUCUCUGUCUUCCUGCUGCCUGACACUCUACAUGUUGAACUCUUGGCUCCUUCUCCAGCACCAUGUCUGCCUGUGUGCUACCAGGCUUCCUGCCAAGAAGAUAAUGGACUAAACCUCUGAAACUGUAACCAGCUCCAAUUAAAUGAAGAGUUGCCAUGGUCAUGGUGUCUCUUCGCAGCAAUAGAAACCCAAACUGAGACAAGGAUUAUUCCCAAUAUCAAUCUUGAGCCUCUACAUACAUGUGUGUACUCCCCACAUGUGUCUAAACACAUGCAAACAUGCCUUUACACUUGGACAAAUGUGUAUGUAUGUCCACGUACAUAGACACACAAAAGACCUGGGAUUGGGUGGACUGGUCUCUCUGAUGGAGAAGCCACAACACCCUGGAAGCUUAGCAUUUUAUUAAAUCCAGUUAAGUAAGGAGACAGGGUUAUUUCAUACAACUGAACACAGAGGAGAGGUUAUUACAUGCAGAUAAACCAGGAGCCAAGGUUAUUAUAUCCAGCUGAACUAGGAAAAAAGUUUAGCUCAUCUCAGGAGUAGGCUCUGUUAUUCAGACCAUAAACACCCAGCUGCAGAGGGUGGGGGAGAAAGCUGUGGUGGACAUUUUCUACACAUUUUAUCAGCAUUUACACGUGGACCAGGAGGGAAGGCUUUGCCGUUUACCCAAGGAUCUGAGGCUUUAGUCCUUGACAUAGUCAUAUUUAUGCCAACAAUAUACAUCCACUCAGGACUUCGAAUGCUUAAGGUUUCCUCCACUACCCACAACCUGAAAUCAAUUAAUUGUCAGCAGUGAUCACAUCUACCAAAUACCUUAGAAGAAAAUAGGUCAACGUUUGACCAGCUGGACUGGGCCCUCUCUCUUAGCCCCAUUGGCUCAUAAGAAUAAUCGUUAUAGGUGCCAUGACCUUCUGGUUCUAAGGAACUAGGUACAAGAUGAUUGACACUGCUCCUGUCAUUAAGGUGUCACCAUCCAGGGAUAUGAACUCCAGUCAUCACUGAAUAGGAAUCAAAGUGCCAGUCACACCUCAUAGAUCAAGGAAGGUCAAGUGUAAGCCAGAUUCCCAAGGAUCUGUAGGAUUUUGGUGCAAGGAGAGAGGUGUGUCUUAGGUACUGGGAAGAAGUUGCCUGAGAAAGUAGGCUGAGCCAGAGGUUGCAUAUUCUUAAAGUCAAGACAAACACGAACCUGAGUCUGGGGGGCAGCUGUACAAACUCAGAGUUUCUAGGGAAGCAAUGGCAUGAUGAGUGCAUCUAGGAUCGGCAAGUCUGGGAAAGUCAUCAGGCAUUGGCAGGGUUUAGUAUCAAACACUGUUUGCCUGGCGUAUCCAGUACUUUUCUCAUACCUGUGACUAAACAUCUGAGAAAAACAGCUUAAGGAAGGGAGGGCCUAGUCUGACUCCCAUAUAAAAUCGAUCAACGAGAGGAAGACAUGGUGUCAGGGGGGUGGGAUGACUGAUGGUAUUACAGCCACAGUCAGGAAGCCGAGGAAGAUGAGUACAGCUGCUUAGCUAACUUUGCCCUCUCUAUUCAAGCUAGGACCCCAGCCUAGGGAAUAGUGCCACCCACUAGAUAUACUUCUCUGGAAACACCACCCCUAGUUACCCCCAGACAUGUGUUUCCAUGGCUACUUUUGAAUUCAGUCAUGUUGACAAGGAAGAUUAUCUACUACUGAGCUAUGGAUGAUCAAGAUGGGCCUGAAAAGGAAGUGAGUCGGCUUAAAGCGUGGUUGAGACAGACUCCUCUCCACUGUGUCCUGCAGACAGAGAAGCUUGUGUGACCCUGGAGUUUACCAAGCAGCCCCUGAAUAAAGAUCUAAUGUUCAGAGCCUGGAGCAUAGACAGCUAGAUUGGUCUUUUUAUAGCAAAGAAUGGAGAAGUAGAAAUAUAGUGUUUGCAGAGGCUCAAACUAGUAGGACACCCUGACACUUCAUAUUCCUACCCUGGAAGGACUGCUCUGAACACAUAAACUAUUAAAUAUGACCAUUUGCUUAAGGUCAUAUUUGUUUGGACAAUUAUUGAGUUUUCUCCUGAGAAGCUCCUGAAAAGUAGAAUUUGUCUCACCUGUGUGUUCUGUAGUGGUGGUUAUGGUGUCGUCAUCACCAUCAUCAUUAUCAUCAUCAUCACUAGUGUUAGGAGAUGGGGAGGGGCUGGUUCUGUUGGUUCUCUCCUUUCCCCUUUACCUGAGCUCUGGGGAUCGAACUCAGGUUGUCAGCGUUGCUCUGUAAGUGUGCUGCACUCUGAGCCAUCUUGCCUACCCUACCAUCUUGGUAUAAUAACCUGGAGACUUCCUUCCUUAUAAUUACCCCUUAAAGCAGGCUUUCAGAACUUGAAAGACUUCGAAUCUUACAGGAGGAGCAUGGACUAGCCAUAAAGGGAGCACUGGGCACAGGGGCCCAUAAAGAAAAAUGCAGACUGUGGGGAUGACUACUGAAGACCGGUGGCAGUAGUAACAGAAAUGCCAAUGGGAAAGGAGACAAUGACAGAUAGAGGGCAGAGGAGAUCUGAACCGGCAAAAGAAAUGGGAAAUAAUUUGGUUCACCUGAAGUUGGUCUAGGUGAGGUUUUCUGCAAUUAGGUAAAAGAUGAAGCUUGAAAUUAGGUAAAUCCAGUUACAGACGUUUAAAAAUAGCUUCCAUGUCUUGCUCACCCAACCUUAAGGCUUGUACCUGCUUUGUGUAUCAAAAUAACCACCACUUGUCACAGGCACCAGUCCUGGGAGAAGGCAGAGAUGACUGUCCCCAAGAGGCAUUCUGCCCAAGACUGGAGCUGUCUCACUGGAGAUUGGAUGACCACAUCCUAUGAUGGGCUUGCCAGUUCUCAAAGCUCUGCCUGCAUGCUCUGUGCAGGGUGUGGAGGGGAUGGGGCACGGCCCAUCAAAGCCUUUUCACUCUGGAAAUGAUGAGACAAUUAAAAAUGAAAAAGGGAUGGAGAAAUGGCUCAGCAAUAGAGAGCACUUGCUUCACAAUCAUGAAGACAAGAGUUCCAGUCCCAGCAUCCACAAAAACAAACUGGGCUUCCCAUGCACACCUGUAACUCAGCAGAGAUGGGACCAUGGCUGGUGCAUGCUGGGGUGAGGAGCUCCUGAAGUGAUAGAGAGGGACCCUGGGCCCUCUUGUGUGUGUGUGCGCGUGCUCGAGCAUGUGCAUGUACAUAUAAACAAAUAAAUCCUUAGAGAGGAAAAAAGAGAGAGGAGAGGAGAGGGAGAGAGGGAGAGAGGGAGAGAGAAAGGGAGGGAGAGAGGAAGGAAGGAACAGAAGGGGGAUUCUUUUGUUUCUCAUUUUUAGUGGUUUCAGUUGAAAGUUUGGUGCAGCCAUAACUGUGACCCUCUGGUAGGUAUUGCCACCACAUCUGGCCUUUGGUAUCUGAUCAACUUCUACAGACACCUUAGUAUGACCACACUCUCCUCUUAUCCCUGCUGUCCCAUCUUCAUGUUUUCUCUACUCUCUUUCCAUCUGGUCCUUCAUUGUGGUUUCUAAUCAACCUUUAACAGCAGCCACAUGUCCCACACACAUGCCCAAGCGUCUCCUGCUUCCUUGUCUUUGUUUACUCUACAGUUGUUUCUUCUAACAGGUCUGGCUUCCUUUUGUUUCUCCCAAGCUGAAAUGUCCCAUUGCCAGCUGCCAGGAAGGAUCACAUCUAAACCACAAGGUGGUUUUGUUUGUUUGUUUGUUUUUCUGUGUCUCUGUAAGGCUUUAUAGAAUGUGUGUGUGUGUGUGUGUGUUUCAUUUGUUUGUGUGUGUGUGCUUUCACAUGUAUGAGUGCAUGUGUGUGUUGCUGUAGAUAAAACUCAUGUCCUCUCUCAUGCUAGGUGACAAGUGCUCUACCACUGAGCUAUACUCUCAGCCCCAGAUUUCAAACCUGUAAUGCUCUUACUGUAUUUCUGCAACAAAUACCCUGUUCAACUUCUAACUCCUUGAGAGAAAGGAUGUUGUCUCAUUUAGUUUUAAUAUCCUCCACAGCCUCCCAAAAUGACAAAUAUUCAGCACAGGACAGGCAUUUUAGAAAAAUCACUGUUAAAUACAUUGAUAAUGGCAGGCAGAAAGAUGAUCAGUGAAGUUCCUUACCAGGUAACAAGGUGGCCUUGAGCAUGAAUUUUGGGGGCAGUGUGAGUUAGUGGUUUGAUAUGAUUUUAGAUAAAGUUUUGGCAAAUGUUUUCUAUAAAGGGAUGAAUAUCAAAUAUUUUAAGAUCUGCAGGCCAUUCUUUCUCUGUCCCAGCUUACCCAACUUUGUCCUUGUAACCAUCCUGGGAGGAAUGAAAAUAGUCUAAAUGAACAGCUGUGUCCUUCCCUUGGCUUAUCAGACUAUUGAAACAAUAGACCCCUCAAAUUAGAAUUUCCCCAGGAGUAUCAUGCUGGGGCUGGGAAGAGGGAAAAGCUAAAGCUCUGGGGACCAUAUGGGGAGGAGGUCCUUUCCGGGAAGAGAUGUCACACAGUUCUCACACUUAUCAGACCACAUUGCAGGAGAGCCUGGCACUGAGACAAUGAGGAUGGGCAGGGCCAUACCUUGACCUGAGUUGUGCACACCUCUUACUCUCUAUUGUAAUUUAAACAUCGUAUCAGCACCUGGAAGAUGGUCUUGGGGAUGACGAGGAGGUCACUGGACCUCUUUGUUCCUCAUCAAAGUCUGGCCACAUUGAAUACAAUUACUUUGUCUGCUUUUCACUAUUAUUUAAGGUGGCCUAUUGGGAAUGGAUGACCAAGACUAACUUGUUUGGCCUGCCAGAAGCUAAUCUCUGACACUAACACCACUUAUGUCCUGUAGUAUGGAAGCAGUCAUAGAUAAUGUGUGAUAAACAUGGCCAUGUUCUAAUACAACUUUAUUUAAACACACUGGAUUUUGAAUGUCAUACAAUUUUCCAAUAUCACAAAAUAAUAUACUUUAAAAUUUUCUCUUCGCCACUUAAAACUUUGAAGACUAUCAUUAGCUCACUGGCAGUAGAAGAAUGGGUGGGUGGAUUUGGCUCUCAGGCCAUAGUUUGCCAAACCCUUAUUUAGAACAAUAAUUAAAAUGUUGCAAUUAAAGAAGAUUCACAUCAAAGUUUUUAUGUUGGUCAAAAGGACAAUGAUUGAGUAAAUUAUAGUAUAAUUACUUGUGAAAUUCUUUAUAGCCAAUUAAAAUAGUGUAAAGAUUGUGGGGCAACAUGGAAAAUGCUAUGAUAAAUUGCAAGUUGAAAAAGCAGACUCCAAAAUUAUGUGUGUUCUGAUUCUAACUAUGUUGAAUGAAUCUUAAAUAAACUCUGUGCAAAUUAUGUAUGCACACGAUUGAAAGGGAAAA